rnacentral:lncRNA from 1 species
AUGGUCGCCUUCCUCAGCACCUUCGGCAACGGCCAGACCCCUGUCCUCAACCUCGCCGGGCACUGCGAACCAAGCUCCGGCGGCUGCACCGGCCAGAGCUCGGACAUCCAGACGUGCCAGUCGCUGGGCGUCAAGGUCAUCCUGUCCAUCGGCGGCGGCGCCGGCAGCUACGGGCUGUCGUCCACCCAGGACGCCCAGGACGUGGCCGACUACCUGUGGAACAACUUCCUCGGCGGCAGCUCGGGCUCCCGGCCGCUCGGCGACGCCGUGCUGGACGGCGUCGAC